rnacentral:rRNA from 1 species
AUUGAACGCUGGCGGCAGGCCUAACACAUGCAAGUCGAGCGAGCGGCGGACGGGUGAGUAAUGUCUGGGUAACUGCCCGAUGGAGGGGGAUAACUACUGGAAACGGUAGCUAAUACCGCAUACCAUCAGAUGUGCCCAGAUGGGUUUAGCUAGUAGGUGGGGUAACGGCUCACCUAGGCGACGAUCCCUAUCUGGUCUGAGAGGAUGACCAGCCACACUGGAAAUGAGACACGGUCCAGACUCAUAAGGGAGGAAGAAGUGGGGAAUAUUGCAAAAUGGGGGCAAGCCUGAUGCAGCCAUGCCGCGUGUAUGAAGAAGGCCUUCGGGUUGUAAAGUACUUUCAGCGGGGAGGCGUUACCCGCAGAAGAAGCACCGGCUAACUCCGUGCCAGCGGCCGCGGUAAUUC